ensembl:lincRNA H19 H19, imprinted maternally expressed transcript
NNNNNNNNNNNNNNNNNNNNNNNNNNAGUCGUGGGGUCCGAGGAGCACCUCGGCAUCUGGAGUCUGGCAGGAAUGUUGAAGGACUGAGGGGCUAGCUCAGGCAGAGCAAAGGCAUCGCAGAGGCUGGAAAACAUCGGAGUGAAGCUGAAGGGCCUGAGCUAGGGUUGGAGAGGAAUGGGGAGCCAGACAUUCAUCCCGGUUACUUUUGGUUACAGGACGUGGCGGCUGGUCGGAUAAAGGGGAGCUGCUGGGAAGGGUUCGACCCCAGACCUGGGCAGUGAAGGUAUAGCUGGCAGCAGUGGGCAGGUGAGGACCGCCGUCUGCUGGGCAGGUGAGUCUCCUUCUUCUCUCUUGGCCUCGCUCCACUGACCUUCUAAACGAAGGUUUAGAGAGGGGGCCUGGUGAGAAGAAGCGGCUGGCCUCGCAGCAGAAUGGCACAUAGAAAGGCAGGAUAGUUAGCAAAGGAGACAUCGUCUCGGGGGGGAGCCGAGACAGAAGGAGGCUGGGGGACCAUUGGCGACCCCAGGUGGAAAGAGCUCUUAGAGAGAAGAAAGAAGAGGUGCAGGGUUGCCAGUAAAGACUGAGGCCGCUGCCUCCAGGGAGGUGAUAGGAGUCCUUGGAGACAGUGGCAGAGACCAUGGGAUCCAGCAAGAACAGAAGCAUUCUAGGCUGGGGUCAAACAGGGCACUGGCCUCCAGAGUCCGUGGCCAAGGAGGGCCUUGCGGGCGGCGACGGAGCAGUGAUCAGUGUCUCGAAGAGCUCGGACUGGAGACUAGGCCAGGUCUCCAGCAGAGGUGGAUGUGCCUGCCAGUCACUGAAGGCGAGGAUGACAGGUGUGGUCAAUGUGACAGAAAGACAUGACAUGGUCCGGUGUGAUGGAGAGGACAGAAGGGCAGUCAUCCAGCCUUCUUGAACACCAUGGACUGGCGCCUUGUC